AUUGAACGCUGGCGGCAUGCUUUACACAUGCAAGUCGGACGGCAGCACAGAGAAGCUUGCUUCUUGGGUGGCGAGUGGCGAACGGGUGAGUAAUAUAUCGGAACGUACCGAGUAAUGGGGGAUAACUAAUCGAAAGAUUAGCUAAUACCGCAUAUUCUCUGAGGAGGAAAGCAGGGGACCUUCGGGCCUUGCGUUAUUCGAGCGGCCGAUAUCUGAUUAGCUAGUUGGUGGGGUAAAGGCCUACCAAGGCGACGAUCAGUAGCGGGUCUGAGAGGAUGAUCCGCCACACUGGGACUGAGACACGGCCCAGACUCCUACGGGAGGCAGCAGUGGGGAAUUUUGGACAAUGGGCGCAAGCCUGAUCCAGCCAUGCCGCGUGUCUGAAGAAGACCUUCGGGUUGUAAAGGACUUUUGUCAGGGAAGAAAAGGCUGUUGCUAAUACCGACAGCUGAUGACGGUACCUGAAGAAUAAGCACCGGCUAACUACGUG
rnacentral:rRNA from 1 species